UACGUAGGGUGCAAGCGUUACUCGGAAUUACUGGGCGUAACGCGUGCGCAGGCGGCUUUGCAAGACAGAUGUGAAAUCCCCGGGCUCAACCUGGGAACUGCAUUUGUGACUGCAUGGCUUGAGUGCGGCAGAGGGGGAUGGAAUUCCGCGUGUAGCAGUGAAAUGCGUAGAUAUGCGGAGGAACACCGAUGGCGAAGGCAAUCCCCUGGGCCUGCACUGACGCUCAUGCACGAAAGCGUGGGGAGCAAACAGG
rnacentral:rRNA from 1 species